rnacentral:lncRNA from 1 species
UCAUGGCAGAAAGUGAGCUUGAUCCCUAUGAAUAUGUUCUCAUGAAUAUGCGAUGAGAAGGCUGACCAGUCUGUUGUGGCAGCCCCAACUCUGCUGCACAGAGACAGAUGCUUGCAAGAAUGACCAGGACCCUGUGAUGAUAAUGGCAUCAGCGCUACUAUGAUCUUGAUGGCCUGGCUGGUGACUGCAGUGGUCUUGUUCCUACUGAGACCUCCUGAUUGAAGAGGAUCCGACGUACCUGAAAAGCCAACCAGUCCUCAUAAUGAACAAGAUCCACCUGCUCCUCUUG